GUCUACAGCCAUAACACCCUGAACGCACCCGAUCUUGUCUGUUCUCAGAAGCUAAGCAAGGUCGGGCCUGGUUAGUACUUGGAUGGGAGAUUUUCCCAGAAUGUGAUGCGUAGUCA
rnacentral:rRNA from 1 species